rnacentral:miRNA from 1 species
AGUGGGAUAGCUGGGUCAAAUGGUGGUUCAAUUUACAGUUUUUCCAAAGAUUCUCCAUACUGCUUUCCAUAUUGGCUGCACCAUUUUGCAGUCCCACCAGCAAU